rnacentral:tRNA from 2 species
GGAUGCUUAGCUCAGCUGGAUAGAGCGUUGGCUUCCGAAGCCAAAAGUCAGAGGUUCGAAUCCUCUAGCAUCCG